GCCACUGCUGUUGGGGUUCGGCUAAGCCAUGCGAGUGGAGGGCGUCCCGCAAGGGAUGGCCCCGCAGACGGCUCAGUAACACGUCGUCAACCCACCUUAGGGUGGGGGACAACCUCGGGAAACUGAGGAUAAUCCCCCAUAGGCGGGGGAGGCUGGAAUGCGCCCCCGCUGAAAGCUCAGGCGCCCCAGGACGGGACGGCGGCCUAUCAGGUAGUUGGUGGUGUGACG
rnacentral:rRNA from 1 species